rnacentral:rRNA from 1 species
UUUUGAACGCUGGCGGCAGGCCUAACACAUGCAAGUCGAGCGGUAGAGAGAAGCUUGCUUCUCUUGAGAGCGGCGGACGGGUGAGUAAUGCCUAGGAAUCUGCCUGGUAGUGGGGGAUAACGUUCGGAAACGGACGCUAAUACCGCAUACGUCCUACGGGAGAAAGCAGGGGACCUUCGGGCCUUGCGCUAUCAGAUGAGCCUAGGUCGGAUUAGCUAGUUGGUGGGUAAUGGCUCACCAAGGCGACGAUCCGUAACUGGUCUGAGAGGAUGAUCAGUCACACUGGAACUGAGACACGGUCCAGACUCCUACGGGAGGCAGCAGUGGGGAAUAUUGGACAAUGGGCGAAAGCCUGAUCCAGCCAUGCCGCGUGUGUGAAGAAGGUCUUCGGAUUGUAAAGCACUUUAAGUUGGGAGGAAGGGCAUUAACCUAAUACGUUAGUGUUUUGACGUUACCGACAGAAUAAGCACCGGCUAACUCUGUGCCAGCAGCCGCGGUAAUACAGAGGGUGCAAGCGUUAAUCGGAAUUACUGGGCGUAAAGCGCGCGUAGGUGGUUUGUUAAGUUGGAUGUGAAAUCCCCGGGCUCAACCUGGGAACUGCAUUCCAAACUGACUGACUAAAGUAUGGUAGAGGGUGGUGGAAUUUCCUGU